rnacentral:rRNA from 1 species
UACGUAGGGUGCGAGCGUUGUCCGGAAUUAUUGGGCGUAAAGAGCUCGUAGGCGGCCUGUCGCGUCGGAUGUGAAAGCCCGGGGCUUAACCCCGGGUCUGCAUUCGAUACGGGCAGGCUAGAGUUCGGUAGGGGAGACUGGAAUUCCUGGUGUAGCGGUGAAAUGCGCAGAUAUCAGGAGGAACACCGAUGGCGAAGGCAGGUCUCUGGGCCGAUACUGACGCUGAGGAGCGAAAGCGUGGGGAGCGAACAGG